rnacentral:rRNA from 1 species
UGAGUACGAGAUGCUACGGCAUCGAAGCAGUCUAUGUCAUACUUCCAAGAAAAGCUUGCACUGUCAGAAACAGAUAAUGCCUGUACCAUAACCGACACAGGUGGGUAGGUAGAGUAUACUAAGGGGCGCGAGAUAACUCUCUCUAAGGAACUCGGCAAAAUGACUCCGUAACUACGGGAGAAGGAGUGCCUUAUUUUUAAGGUUGCAAUAACAAGAUCCAAGGAACUGUUUACCAAAAACACAGGUCUCCGCUAAGUCGUAAGACGAUGUAUGGGGGCUGACGCCUGCCCAGUGCCAGAAGGUUAAAGAAGUCGGUUAGCAUUCGCGAAGCUGGUAACUGGAGCCCUGGUGAACGGCGGCCGUAACGAUAACGGUCCUAAGGUAGCGAAAUUCCUUGUCGGGUAAGUUCCGACCCGCACGAAAGGCGUAAUGAUUUGGAUACUGUCUCGGAGAGGGGCUCGGUGAAAUAGACUUGUCUGUGAAGAUGCGGACUACCUGCACCUGGACAGAAAGACCCUAUGAAGCUUUACUGUAACUUGAAAUUGAAAUUGGACUUUAUUUGCGCAGUAUAGGUGGGAGGCGUUGAAAAUAUUCUUGCGGGAAUAUUGGAGCCAUCAGUGAGAUACCACUCUUGUAAUGUUAGAUUUCUAACUUUAUAUCAUUAUCUGGUUAAAGAACAGUUUCAGGCGGGCAGUUUGACUGGGGCGGUCGCCUCCCAAAUGGUAACGGAGGCGCACAAAGGUUUCCUCUGAACGGGUAGAAAUCGUAUCUAGAGUGUAAAGGCAUAAGGAAGCUUGACUGUGAGACCUACAAGUCGAGCAGGGACGAAAGUCGGUCUUAGUGAUCUGACGGUGCUGAGUGGAAAGGCCGUCACUCAACGGAUAAAAGUUACUCUAGGAUAACAGGCUAAUCUCCCCCAAGAGUUCACAUCGACGGGGAGGUUUGGCACCUCGAUGUCGGCUCAUCGCAUCCUGGGGCGGUAGUACGUCCCAAGGGUUGGGCUGUUCGCCCAUGAAAGCGGUACGCGAGCUGGGUUCAGAACGUCGUGAGACAGUUCGGUCCAUAUCCGGUGUAGGCGUUAGAAUAUUGAGAGGAGCCUUCUUUAGUACGAGAGGACCGAGAAGGACAUACCUCUGGUGUACCAGUUAUCGUGCCAACGGUAAAUGCUGGGUAGCUAUGUAUGGAGUGGAUACCGCUGAAAGCAUCUAAGUGGGAAGCCCACCUCAAGAUAAG